AUGUUCUUGGCCGGGUCCUACGGGCCGCACCCAGCUGCGCCGCCCAUCGCCGCCCCCGUGCCGCCCUGGCUGCCGUGGCAGCCGCCGCACCAGGCGGCCUUCGCCGCGCUCGCCGGGCCGCCGCAGCUGCCAUCCAUCGCCACCACCGCCCAGCCCUGGUUGCAGCUACAGACGCCGCUCCUGGCGGCCUCCGCCGCGCCCGGCGCUCCGCCGCAGCAGCCGCUGCCGCUGCCCGGCGCGACACUGCAGCAACCGCUGCAGCUGCAGCAGCCACCGCCGGUCAGCUCCGCAGCCCAGUAUGGGAUGCCCUACGACGGGAGUGCGACGACCUCAUUCCCAUCAGCGCCGCCGUCAUCCCAGGGCGUCCACAUCCAGCAGAUCAAGUCCCCACCGUCGCCGUCACCGCUUCCGUCUUGGAUCGCUACCCGCCACGUGUCGGCGGCGGUGAGGCUGCAGGCUGUUGCACGCGGCCUCCUAGUGCGUCGGCGUGUGCGGGAGAUGCGUGGUCUGCAGCUGCCGCUCCUCCAAGUUGCCCUUUGCUGCGCAAAGGACCUCGAUCUCGUCCGCUGCGUCGGGGAUCUUGGGCAUGCGGUUUCCCCCACGGACGGCGGGCAUGCUGUUUUCCCCGCGGGCAGCGUCCUCAAAGUCUGCGACAUCGGCGGGUGGGGAGGCGCACCCUUCCUCGCCAGCCUCCAUCGCAAGCCCUCCACUCUUUCCUGUGCGGUGCAGACCAACAGCAGUCCGGCGGGGAGAAGGUAG
rnacentral:rRNA from 1 species